GCAGAAUGAAAUUGAUUCAGGAAAGUUAGCAAUGUCAGAGCCUGUCAGAAUUUCUUUCUCACAAAGACGAAUGUUCUGGAUCUGUGACAGGGCUGGGGAGCCAUGGGCCAGGACCUGCACACGGCCCCCCCAUGCAGCUUCCAGCUUUCCUGUCCCCUCCCUCCUUCACCACGUCUGUACACUGUCAGCCCAUUGGAUCAAGCAGAGUGACACUCAGUAUUGGGAGCAACGCAACUCUGGAAUCAUCUGGAAGCCUUAAAAAAGACAUGCUGGGACCCCACCCCUAGAGAUUCUGAUAUAAUUGGUGUGCUGUGUGGUCUGGGCACCAGGACUUCCAUGUGCAGCCCCUCCUGAUACCCUCACUCCCCUUCUUUUCCUCUCGCCCCAUCUCUACCUUGACAAUUUUAUUUCCCAAGGUCCAGGCUCCCACUCAAGGCCAAUCUCUUAUUUUUUGGAAGACUUCUUAAAAUUUGUUUUCUGCCAAUAGGCAGGCACACUGAUCAGAGGAAGAAAUAACACCUUUUAUCUCAACAGUACCGGAGGGGAGCCACUAGGACAAGCAGGCGGAACUCAAAACCGUAAAAAUCAGAGCCAUUUCAGAGCGGGUCAUGAUUAAGAACAUCCCGACAGUGCGAAGUCAUUCCUGAGAAUGUUGUUUUUAACAAUGAUCAGCCAUCUACACCACCACUCGGCUGCCCCCUCUCCCCCAUGCAUGCUUCACUGACCUAUCAAAUGAAGUUAAUUAAUUUUAUUUUGAAUAUUUCAUAAGAGCUCAUUAUCCUUGACGAGAGUGCGCAUGUCACUUACUGCCUUCGGGAAGCACUCUCCUCCAGGAAACGUAAGCUCGUCCGUUGCCAGUUUUCCAGUCUUCUCUGGGGAAGACAGCCGACUCUGAGAUGCAUCAGCGUUAACUGGCAGAGCUGUGAUUUCUCAUUUCUUUGUAGCACCCAGCAGGGCUGCUCAGGGAAUCCAGUGGGUGAUAAACCGGGCGAGGAGGGUUAUCUAGGUCUUGAAAGUCAGCAGAGGAGUUUGAAGUGGAUCGAAGUGUAGGUUCUCAAACAGAAGAGAGGAGCGGUGAAAAGAGGGAGGGCUCUGUGGGGGUGGGCCUGGGCUGGAAUGAUUGGAUUUAGGCAGGUGUGGCCCGAAGCCAGGCCCAAAGGAGCAAAGAGCUCCUUUGGGAACGCAUGCACCUACUGUGCGCCCACCUGCCCUUUGCUCAGAAGGAAAAGUGGAGAAUUCCUGAGGCAGUCUCAGCUCUGGAGAAUCCCUUUAGGGUAUAAUUACACUCUUCCUCUGCUUGGUGCUGUGGCCUAAAGGUGGCAGUGGAAAUGCCAAGUCAGGUUGUGGUUAGAACCUCUGUCCCUGGGAGAGUCCACAAAGGCUGGCUAACAGGCCUGGGUGGGCGUGGCCUGUCCAGGGGCCCUGGAGUUGGGCAGGCACAGGCAGGAGUGAAGUCAGGAGACCUCAUUUACUCAGGUGCUAAGAAUGGCGUCAACUUUCAAAGCCCUCACCAGGCAGAGGUGACAAAUCACUUAAUGGGCACUAAUCAUUUUGUGGCUCAUUUAUCUUCCCAGUGAAUACUUUUCAACACAAGCAUUUACAUUUCCAAAGAAUAAAGCCUUGUAAAAAGGCUGGUGGAAUUUAUGGCUGCAGGAAACUGGCUCCCAGUUUGCUCUGCUGACAGGUUUAUAAGGCCAAGGAAGUUCAUAAGGUAAAAUGAAUUUCCAAGCAAAUGAAUUUUUCGGAAAUGAGUUGACUUUUUUAAAAAAAAACAUAUACCAAGGUUAUUUGCAUUGAUUUCAUUAGUGAACAAUGAAAAGUGGUCAAAAUGCAGUAUUAUCUUAUUUUUUUUAAUGUGAGCAAAAGCACCAAUGGCUUUUUGUUUGUCUUGUUUUUAAGAAACCAUCUGGGUAAAAGAUUCCUUGGGUCUUCAAAGAUAUUUGGUCUAUUUUUAAAUGGAUGAUUUGUCUAAAUAAUUUUGUUAAAGUUAGUAAAUAUCCUGUCGUUUAGAGUGUAGUUUCCAGAGCACUGGCCUGGCCAGGCAGAACGUGGUUACCGUAACAUGUAACAGCCUGAAUUUGGUCAUCAGGGAACUGAGAGCAGAGGGAGAUCCAGUUAUUUCGGUUGCAUUCAGGAUUAGAGACUACAUCAGUACGUAUUAAAAAUAUUAAAAGGCCUGGAUUUAAAAAAAUUGCCAUGGAGAUGGGAAGGAAGGCAGGAGGCAAGGGCCCUGGAGACUGGAGAUGUUACCGCAGCCCAUGCACGUCAGGCAGGACAGGCCUUCACACCUGCGAGAAUUGCUCCGAGAAGAACAUUUGGCCCCAAAACCAGGAAGGCCAAGAUUUCAGUCCUGGCUCUGCCAUCCUGAGUAAGUUAUCUAACCCCUUGAAACCCCUAUUCCCAUGCCUCUAAAAUGGAGCAGGUAAUAAUACGUGCUCCCAGGAGUAUUAACAUAUGUAAAAUUCCUAGCCCAGAGCCAGGCCCUAGUAAUUUUUCUCUACAAGUUAAUUCUUCACUUGACACUUCAGAGGCCCAAGCUGCUCCCCCAUCCAAGCAGCCUUGAGCCUAGAUUCCACUACCCGUGAUUUGUUUCUUGGACUUAAACCUUGGGUUGUCCACCCUGUCUUAAGGCUUUAGAGAGCCUUUCCCCUCACUGGAGAAAUGAGGUCCAGAAAGAUAAGACGUCUUGCCCAAAUGAUAAACUAAGAAAAUACCCUGAAUACUUUAAAUCUAUAACCGGGGCUAAUCACCAGUUAAAUCCAUUUCACCUGUAACCUGUCUUUACACAUCAAGGCUGUUUUAAUUGUUGCUGCAAAAGACCUGCACGUCAUCCAAGGAUCAGGGAGCCUAAACAAGAUGUUUGCCCGAGGUGUUUUCCAGAAACUUGGCAUCACCUGUGUCUAUAUGGAGCUGAGAAAGUUAAGGCUGGAAAGGACCACUGACCCUCCAACCCGCCAUGCGCGAGUGUCCUCUAGGUGACAUUUUGAUGUCAGAGGGCCGAGAACUCCACCCUCAGAUCAGCAAGGGUGCCUCCGUUUUUGAACGUGCAGAGGCCUGUAGCUUAGUUACACUUGCACAGAAUGACAGUUACCCACCUUUUCCCAGUAACCUUUCUGCGAGCUCUCCACGCCCCAGACCGCCCUGCUGCUUUAUGCUUUAUCCCAUAAAUACCUGCACCCCUUGCCUUCGGGGAGGUGAAUCUGAGACCUCUUUGCUCGGAUGCCUCUCUUUGCUGCAAACCUCGGUGUCUCAGCGUUUUGGCUUGCUGAGCAUCAGGGAAAUGAGUCUGAUUUGGCAACAAAUCUACCUGAGUCUUCAAGAUAUCUAUAUGCUCUGGAAAAUGAAAUCCCCUAUCCUAUUAUUUUUCUUUAAAGGAUUUUCAAAAUUAGCUGCUUCAAUCAUUUAGGCUUUUCAUGUCGAAAUCUGAAAUACUAACGUCUGCAUAGCUUUCUGGUUUAAGGUGAAGGUGGGAGGUCUGUCUUUUCUUCUUUGAAGUUGUAGAAAGCAAAAGGGAAAUAAGAAAUGAAGACUUAAUUUCCAUUUUCACGAAAAAUAGGGAGUUAAAGCUGAAAACUACAAAACAGGUGGAUGGGCUGGAAAAAGCAGGGGAGCAUAUAGGAGGGAGAGGAGAGGCCAGUACUUGACUGCAGAAAUCAGGAUGAGUCAGCAAAAUGCAUUUGUAAAAGAGAUCAGCUGAGGAACAGAAUCUAAGCUUCAUGUUUACAACAGAGAGACAAUGUACAAACAGGGCAGCAAAAACUCUCCAGGACCCAGCUUGGUUGUGGAAAGUAGAGGUGAUGGGGUUUUAAAAAAUCACAUACUUGCAGGGAACGCCCUACCUACAAGCAGCAGGGAAAAAGAUGCUUUUUGAAAAACCCCACAGCUGCUUGUCAUUAUUGGCUGGGGGGAAUAUAUCUAUAACCAGCACAAGACCCUGGUUCAUAAUGAAGAUUCCUGCUAGGCUGGGAUGUGGCCCUGCAAGUAUCUGGUCCAAGAAAAACUCACCUGCCUCAAAGGUGAGGCAUCAAAAAGAACAAACCCAAGUUAUUUCAAAGAUACAGACCCAAAAAAGAUCAGGAAAAAUAAACAGCAGAUAUAAUGCUGCCAGAGAGCAGACAAAAACAGUAAGAAAAAAAGUAUUUUUACUACCAAUGUAAAGUAUUUAAUGAAGCAGUUACCUCUACAAAGCCUGGGCACAAAGCAGAGACGCAGGAAUCUAUCUGGCAGUGAUAACAGGACAACAGACAACGUAAGCUGACAGCGUCCAGGGUAC
rnacentral:lncRNA from 1 species